GGACUCCUCAGUAUAUUGCGGGAUUCUGCGAUCGAUAGAAGAUCAACGUUGCCAUUCGAAAUUUUACUCACCCACCAACCAACCCUCACUCAGUGUCUGAGCAAAAAUCUAUCGAGAGCAUUGCAAACCAAAUGUGAAACUCCAUUGAUUUUGAUCUAAGGGUGUCUGGCGAUAUGAAGGACAUCCGGCCGUGGAAAAAAUUGCCUCAGCGAAAUCCCGUCCGGCACAUACAUACAAGCAUAGAAAAGUGGACGUUGAAACGAUGAUGAUAAUGUUGAUGAUGAUGG